UCUUUUUGAAACCUAUAAUUAGCCCUUUAUUGUACAACAAAGAUAUCUCUUGAUCUUUAGGAUAAAAAAAUUUUUGAUCCUCGACCCCAGGACAAGGGAGGUUGUGCUUGCUACUCGACUAUUCUCCAAAACAAAACAACCUUCAGUUCACCUCCUUCAACUUCAAAGAAUACUUAGGAAUGUCCUCUUUCAGCGUCAUCACUAUUGGCGACAACAAAAGUGUGAGAUUUAAUUGGUACGUGACCGUUAGGAAUCAUGGUUACGCAAGGCUUCCAUGCCUCCAACUCUGUCAUUUGGACUCACAAGGACGGUUUAAUAUAUCAGCCCUUCCAAUAUCAAUUCAAUGGACAAGAGCACAUUUAGCUUUGUGGAUCUAAGAGAUGCAUUGACAACAGUCCUCUUCUCUAUUUCUUAUACAGCGGAAAUCAUGUGAGGGAAAACUUUAUUCGCAAAAAGGUUGAUCAAAGUAUGUCGAUUGUUGGGCAUGAAGACUGUUAAAGACGAAACCAGAUGGAGUAGAAAUAUCCACUCUUCAGUCCAAUGGAAAGUUCUGUUCACAUCAACAUUAUUUUUUAAUGAUGUAUUAUUUAAUUUAUACUGCAAAAUUAUAUCUGUAAAUUUUUUAAGUUAUGUUAUUAUCAAUCAAUUAUGUUAA